GACUGCCGCAGCACGCUCCGUCCACACAGCCGAGCUCCGCAGCGAGACCGCGGGGUGCCGCAAGCGUAGCCCCGGGCGCGUCCCGGAAGUGCUGUACGGCAAGCGCGCAGGGCCGCCUCCACCGGGCGCACGCGGCCUCACCUGAGCCUGCGGAACACGCGCCCUUCGCCUCACCCUCUCUUGGGUCACUGGGGUGGGAAACGCUUCCCGGACACCGGGCGGCGGAAAGAGAUGGAAUAAUACAGAGGAUGCGUCGGGGCCGGGCGGGCACGAGGCCCUGCGCCCCCUGGCCCCAGCGCUGGGACAGUCGGUAGGGUGCGCGGGGCUGGUCUCCCGGACCCGGCCUGGAGCUCAGAUGCUGGAAGGCGCUGCGCCCCCGAAUGCCCCAGGGCCUGGGGAGCACCCAGAUUCCCGAGACACGUCCUGGCCCUGCUGGCUGGGGAGUUGCAGGGGUCUGGUCCCGCGGGUAGAGCCGGUGAACAAGAGGCUCCCACCUUUCCACGGCCGCCGCACUGCGCCCUGCUCACUCUUACCCCCGACCACUGCAGUUUUAAGAGACGACCCUAGAGCAAGGAACCCUCAGGGAUCGGGAUCGCCGCCUCUGAAAGCCCCAUCCGGCCCACCGCAGCUCCCCUAGGCGCGUGCAAGACCUCAAGUCUUCCCUACGGUCCCCUCUAAGCACCCCAGCACCCCGUUUCCGAUACCCUGUGCUGCUUUAGCCCCCAAACCUAGGGCCUCACUCCAGGCCAUUCUCUCCUUGCUGUCCUGCAUGGAGAGGACCCUGACCUCCGUGGGGCUCUGGGGAGCACACACACAUACAUCCUCAGGGGAGUCAGUCUUCUACCCCACCGCGUGAGAAAUUCCCUGGAGGCCCUGGAAGGUCGUGUCAGAGACUUCGAGGUCACCUUUGGCCCUCUGGCCCUUUCAUCGAGUCCCAGGCAGAUGUGGUGAAGCUGUGUCUGAAGUUGGGGGUCAAGAAGGACAGGGGACCUAGACGGUGAGGAGAGCCCAUCUUCCUGCUGCCUUGAGGGCCCGAGCUGAGACCCUGAGAAGAAGGGGCCAGGGGAAGCCGAAUCCUGAGCUGCACUAAGGAACUGGCUCACCCUGGCUGGAGCAGUCUCUCCAGGAUCAGCAAGUCCCCAGCUGUCAACACAUCAGGAAAUACAGGAAAUGAAAAGGCAUGAUGAAUACACUGAGGGUGCUCGUGAAGGCAUCAGCCCCUGCGGGCUCCCUGCCAGAGUUUGUCAUGGAAGAUCAGCACACAGAAGAAACAGAGGCCCAGAAAGCUGACUGCACCUGCCGAAGGUCACCCAGAAUCAGGAUUUGAAUUUGCCCAGCUCCAGGCCCAUUCUCUGUUCAUCCCUCCAAUCUGCUUCUCACAGUGAGUGCCUCUACCUUCUCCGACCCUAGCACAUGUAGACAGAGAACAUACUUAAAGCUUGGUAGAACCGUCCGCAGUUGCUGCUUUGUGGGGUUGUCGUAGAUUGAAUCUGUGUUUGGUAUUGGAUUUUUCAGGGCAGUCUCAAAUUCACAUGUGCUAAUUAACUGUCUUCUGAAACAUGUGCUUCAUAAGCCAGAUGUUGCCUCGUUUGGGUUAGGAAACUGUCUUCUGGAAUAUCUAGGGGUGGUCCCCGAUUCUUGUGUAGUUAAUGCUGCAUGUCAAUUUUCAAAACACCCCAUAGCUCAGCAGCUCAGCUCAGAUAUACAAUAACUCAAGGAUUUUAUUGAUGUGAUCAUUUAAUCCAGAGAAAAAGAAAAGGGUACAUUUAGACUUGCAAAUUCAUCAGCUACUGGGGGGCUGGGCUUGCAAACGCUACUGAAGUCUUGCUUCCAAAAUAUAAGCAGUCACCUCCACACAUGUCAUCCCCCAUCCCUCUCAGCUUCCUGCUCCAUUCUCCUUAAAUAAGUGGUCUCCACUGGGAGAUGGUGAACAUUGUAAUUAACAUGGAGACGCAUGAAUGAAUAUUAGGCUCCUGGGAGAUGGUUGUGAAAUUCAUUAUCCGGGGACUGGGCUGUAGCUUCCAUCCUUUGUAGCUGAUGUAGAUGUCUUUCGUGUACAUCAGAGGGAAUAUGUGGAACAACUGCUGUGCUGUAAAAGUUUCAUUAUAUUCAGGAAUGCAACACAUACAUUGGUGAGACCUAGGAAGUAACUACCAGGGAGAUCUUGUGUUUGAAGCUAAAUUUUUCGAUGGCUAUUCUGAGUCCCCCAAUAGGCUCCCUUUCGUUUUAUUGUUGCUCUCCAGAAGUAGACACAGUGUAGAAACACAAAAAGAAUUCCCAAAAGAAAGGGCCAAUGAAACCAUUAUAUGCUGUUGGGUUUUCAAGGUGUAUGAGUAUGGGUACUCCCAUAUACUGAAGACGGGAAGAUGGAAAGAUGGGAAGAUGGGUUGGUGUUACAUUUGGAGAGACAGUUAGAAAGUAUGAUUAAAGUGUAAUUUUAGUUUGGGAAAUGUAUCAUAACAGCCUAACAUGAGGAGCAAUAUAUGUGUGCAAAGCAGUUACUUGGGGCUAUUGAAUCAAAAAGAGAGGU